UAGCUCUUCAUUUAUGUCUCAAUAAGAAUUGAUAUAGACGGUGUUGAACAAAAUAAAAUUUAGAGAUCUAUUAAACCGUUGUCACCAUCGUUAUAUAAACUCUUUGUUUUGCACAUCAUCCCAUCCAUCAUUGCAAGUAGUAGGCAGCGACGGAGAGCAACGAAGCGCCGAUGAGAGAGCCGAUUGCUGGAAGGCCGACAGUGGCGGCGCUGGUUGGUCCAGGUGCAGGAGCCGACGCCUCGUUCUGAGCCACGGCGGCGGUGACGGUUGCGGCAGCGAAGAGGACGGCGCAGAACUCGAGAAGGAUCACCGAGAAACACCGAGAAACACCGAGAAACGCCUUCGCUUUGGAAAUUGCUGCCUGAUGAAAUGGAGAUGGAAUGAAUGUGAUUUAUAGGUGCAAAUCCCAGCAAUUUUCGGUGGAAGGUACGUUUCUAUGGUGCUUUGAUCUUGAAUUGCAAAGCUAUAUUUAGAUGAACCUUCCUGAUUUGCAUCGAAAUCGAUUACGGCGAUUCGUGGCCGGGAAAUUAGGGCUGAAUUUGAUCGAUUCUUUCGGAAA